rnacentral:lncRNA from 1 species
GAAAUAAUGUGGUGCUGAGGUUGAAUGGACCACAGCCAACUCCCUCUGCCUGGGAAGUGAAGAGGAAGAAUGAAUUGUUUUCUAGAGGAGAUGGUGCUGGUUGGAAAGAAAAUGUCCAAAGAGAUCGGUGGAUGUGGAGACUUGGUCUGGCACUUGUGAGCAACAGUGUCCUUCACCAAGGCAGAGAUGUAAAAGACUAUCAAAGAAAGACAGAGUUGAAAGACCAGUUCUUCAGGAAAUCAUGUGCAUAUCAGACUUCAGUUUCUUCAGCCAUUUUUCCAGGGAGCUUCCAGCCUUUGACCUCAGACUGGUGCUGUGUCCUUGAUCCUUCUUGUCCUGCAGCUUCCAGCUUCUUGGACUGAGCAGCUACUGGGUUCACCAGGUCUCUAGUGCAGAGGGCCACUGUGGACUCCCCUACCUCUGAUCUUCACACGGUGGUGUCAUGUGGAGGGGAUUAGAGGCACAAGAAAGAGUGGCAGAGAGAAACUGGGGGCAUGAAUUGUGAUUGGUGAUGGGACAAUGACAGUUUCUCCUCUGCAAUGUCCCUCUGUCAUGCCACUCUGCCUUGGAGCCAGUCAAUGUUGGACUGAAAUCUCUACAAACUCAGAAGGCAUGACUGGGUUGGAACUCAAAACUUCCAUCAAGAAAAUCAAGAUUGUGGAAGAAGAGGACAAUGAUGAUCUGAAAUGACACUGUGGUGAUGGCACUGUCCAGAAGAAAGCCUGUCAUGGGGAACCUAAACUCAUACACUGGCAGUGACAUGGCUUCCUGAGAAUAGUCCGUACUACUCCAAGUAUUAGCUUUUGAUAUUAACAUUCACUUUAAUUUAAAUGUUACAAGUCUUGUUUAUCAUCAUGGUUAUAAAUAAGGACUAAAGAAUAUGAAGAUAGCAGGCUUGUGUAUGUCACCAGGUCACAAGCUCCAAACAAUCCAUCCAAAUUAUCAUACAUCUCUACCUAUUUAGAGACAAAGUUUUGAAGAAACUUAAAGGACCAAGAUCAGAAUUGCCUGACUAAAGUAAGGAUUUCUCUCUCAUCUAUCUAUAUAACGAAAAAUCUCUAUACAGUAUGCCAUCCAACCUUCAAUUCCAUAGAUACAAAUAACAUUUCCUAGGAUUAAUUAAAAAGAUUCUUACAAGACACUUAAGGUAAAUGAUGUUUUACAAAAACCACAGGAAAAAAGUGUAAUUACCAAAGCCAUUCUAGAUGUACUUUGUAACUCAAAAUGAGACAUAUGUUAUAGUAGAUCAAGUAAUCAUCCAUGCAUGCCAAAGGGGAAAAGGCAUGUGGAAAACUACACAAAUGUUUCAGAUGAGUUUUCCUAGAAGCUGAGACCAAGAUGAUAAUUCUUGAACAAGUGUUUUACUCAGAAGAAAUCUAUAAGGAAGGGAGGAAAGCAAGAAUAAUGCAGUAAUAAUGCAGCAAUAAUGUGGUUUCAGUUGAAAACUCACAUUAACUUGGCCUACGGGGAGCUCAGAAGUUGAACAGUGUCACAAAGAUAUCCAGCCUUGAAGAAAAGGGGACGAGCUUUUGUAUCCCAAUGUCAUUGGCUGUGAAGUGUCCCAACAGCAUUUCUGGUUGAGGAACUCAUGUUGGCUGAAGGAAGUUCUUCAGAGAAACACUCUUCUAUGAGCUGCCCUCAUAGGCACUGGGCAUGGUUCCAUUGACUGGUGAAGAAAAUCAGGACAAGGCACCAAAAGCAUUUAUUACAAGCUAUCCUUUGCACUGUUCAGAAUCACUUUCUCUUCCCUUUAAGAUCAUGGAAUUUGGGCAUGCUUUCUGUAGCAUUCUGGUUAGUCAUAAUUUCUUGGUAUACUUACAAUACAUGUAUCAAUAAGUGUUAAUCAGGCAAACUGUAGCUCUUAUUGCUGCAGUUUGUCAUGACACUACAGCUGGUUUUAGUCAUCUCCCUCACUAUUACCCAUUCUAGAUAUACUUUCCAGCUCAUCUAGCACUUCAGCUGGUAGAGGUGGUUUACCUGGUGGUAGGAGGGUCAUUUCCUCUACCCCUUCCAAUAGUUCCAUUCCCUUAUUAGACUGUGGAUGCUGUACUUUGACAUGCAGAAUCUGAAGUAUAAAAUGGGAGGGCCAACUCAUAUUCUAGUGGAUUGCAUGGUACCAAACCUGCCCCCAUCUGUAGCUGCCAUUCUCCAUGCUCAUGACAAUCAGAGUUGAUUAUAAUAUAAUUGAUUAUAGUUGAUUAUAUAGUUGAUUAUAAUAUAAUAUAAUAAUAUAAUGUUGGUAUAAUAAAUCCUUUCUUUGGCCAAAGUCUACAGAUGUCAAAGCCAUAGUAGCUUUAAGUUGAGUAAUACUCUUACUGUGUUCUCUAGUGGAAGCAACUACUCUGGAGGACCAAAAUCUCCAGGCUCACAGACUGUAAAGAUGCAGGCAUGAGAAGCGCUUAUCAAUGGGCGUGAUGGUAAGAAGUGCUAGGCAAACUUCUUCCAACUGGUUACUGGGCCAACAUAUGCUACCGAGAGGGGAAGAGCACCCUAUGGUGGACACAUUGAUUCCAUCCUAAUGUACCUGAUAGGAUGGCUCCUGAAGGAUAUAUCAUAGUAACAUUUAUGGUAGCUGGGUCAUGGAAAUACCAUCCUGGUAAAGAGAUUCUGCAUGGGG